UGCCUCACUGGAAGACUAGAAGCUUGC
rnacentral:piRNA from 1 species